rnacentral:rRNA from 1 species
CACGUAGUUAGCCGGCGCUCUUAUCCAGCUACCGUCAACCCACCCACCAGGGGCAGGCCUGCUUCACUGGCGAAAGAGGUUCACAACCCGAAGGCCUCCAUCCCUCACGCGGCGUCGCUGCAUCAGGCUUGCGCCCAUUGUGCAAUAUUCCCCACUGCUGCCUCCCGUAGGGGUCUGGGCCGUGUCUCAGUCCCAGUGUGACCGUCCACCCUCUCAGGCCGGCUACCCGUCACCGCCUUGGUAGGCCAUCACCCCACCAACAACGCUGAUAGGCCGCGAGCCCCAUCCCCCACCAGAAAAAACCUUUCCCAGACCCAUCAUCGCGACACGACCCAGAAUACUACCCGUAUUAGACCACUACUUUCAUGUCGGUUAUCCAGAAGGAAGGGGCAGGUUACUCACGUGUUACUCACCCGUUCGCACUCAUCCACAACCCCCAAAAGGACGCGCUCACGUUCGACUUGC